AAGUUUGUACAUUUGAGAGAUCAUUUCUACAGUUCGUCUCUAGAGCACUUUCUCUGUGCGGAGCACCGGAGUCCAUGAGGACCAGACAGCGUUCCCUCCUGAACAUGCAGCCGGCUCUAAGUGCUGCUCUCUGCUGAGCCUCCUCCUCUUCCGCUGAUGGUUAUUCUUACCUCCCCUUGGGAGAGGGAGAGGGAGGGAAUGCAGUCGGAGGGGG
ensembl:snoRNA U3 Small nucleolar RNA U3